CGGGGUCCGGGCCCGGGCCGAGCGGCCGCUGUCGUGUCCGCGGGACCCGCGCAGCAGCUCCCGGGAGGGAGCGCGCGAGUAACGCAGCGCAGCGGCUUAACCCGUAAGCGACAGAAGCAGCGAGGAGGCCCUCCAGCCUGUUCCGCCAUUCUGUAAGCAUUCCCAACGCGGCGUACGUCAGUCCCUCAGCUUCUGGAGUAAGCCAGUCGGCACACCGCAACAUAACAGCCACGGCAGCGCUUUACUUACAUGCCUUUGCUGGAACGCAGCCCAUUGUUAUCUCUUGGAGCGUCUUGGACAGAAUAAAGGGUCUGCAGGGAAUAAUAACUGCAGGAACUGACAUUUGACAUUGUAGAAAUAUCCCAGAAGAUUUUCAAAUAUAAAUCAAACUGUUCAAGAACGUGGACUGCAUGCAAAAUUCACAGUUGCCAUAGUUUCUUUUUGAAUUAGAGCUUUUUUGUCUUUGUUUAAAAACAUCCAAAUAAGGAAAUAGAGUGUCAGGAAGCAUGGAUGUGAAUCCUUACAAUUUGUAACACAGGAGAUUUGAUCAGUGCUGUAUGCACCAAAGUGAACCCAUUUGUGGAUUGAGAGUUUUUGUUGGUUCAUAAAAAUAUCUUGCAACAUU